GAAAGAAGUGAAAUGAUGAGCAAAAUACAAGGGAGGGACCAACAUAAUAGAGAAUCAAAUAAUAUAUAGGAAAUCAAAAAAAAUAAAAUCAAAGAUUUAAAAUCCUCAGAGAUGUUCCACUUAAUUGUUAGAUUUUAUUUCAGGGGUUUAACACAGUAGAUAAAGGGAUAAGAGACCAAGAGCAAAUUCCUCAACUGAAUCACCAUCCACACACAGCCUCUCGCCUCCAUUCCACAAACCUCUCUCUGCCACUUCUCAACCAACAAGCCUCAUCACUGUGACAACAGACCACGCCACAAACACGACUUCUCCAAAGUAAUCCUUUCCCAUCCGAGACAAACCCCCGAUCUUUCAUAAUUCAUAACCAAUCAGGAAAUAUCAGCCUAAAACCUCGAUCGAUCUCUGUUUUCUUUUUUGCAGGUUAAGAUUCAACACGUGGAAUCCACGCGUUGUUGCUGUCUGGCACCUUCUUCACUAUCCGUGCAUGCAAGCCACUCACCACCACUUUCUAGAUCAGUUUCAAGUUUCAACAGCUUCUGGUCUGCGUUAGCAGCUUCUAAGGAUUAGGCUACCUGUUAAUCAACCUGUUCUUGGUUCCUGUCAUGUGGAAUGAAGGCGAGGGGCUGUGUGUGGAUGGUGGUUCAGUUGAGGAUUUGCUAUCACAAUUGGAGGAAAGGAAGGCAGCGAUGGCUGAAAGGGAAGGGACUGUCAGUGGUGGCAUGAGAUAGAGGAGAUGUUGUCGUCGGUGGCUGUGGUGUUUAUGUUCAAAGGUUGCUGGAGUAGUCAGAGAAAAGGGGUGCUGACAUGCUAGGGUUAUGUAUUCUUUUAUAUAUAUAUAUAUGGGGCCGUUUUAUUGAAAAGAAAGGGGGGAUGCUUUUCUUUUUCUUCAGUCCCUUCUUCUCCCUCUAUUUAUAGUGUUAAACCUUUUUUAAAAAAAAAAACUUAACAGUUAAUUGGAAGAUUUUUAAGUUUUUUUAA